GUGUCCAGAUGGCAGCACAUAUACUAAAACUGGAAUGACACAAAAAGGAGUAGCAUAGCCCUGCACAAAUUUGUGAAGUGCUCCAUUAUUUU
rnacentral:snRNA from 1 species